rnacentral:rRNA from 1 species
ACACCGGCCGCUCUAGUGGUAGCUGUUUUUAUUGGGCCUAAAGCGUUCGUAGCCGGUUUGAUAAGUCACUGGUGAAAUCCUGUAGCUUAACUGUGGGAAUUGCUGGUGAUACUGUUGAACUUGAGGUCGGGAGAGGUUAGCGGUACUCCCAGGGUAGAGGUGAAAUUCUGUAAUCCUGGGAGGACCACCUGUGGCGAAGGCGGCUAACUGGAACGAACCUGACGGUGAGGGACGAAAGCUAGGGGCGCGAACCGGAUUAGAUACCCGGGUAGUCCUAGCCGUAAACGAUGCGGACUUGGUAUUGGGAUGGCUUUGAGCCGCUCCGGUGCCGAAGGGAAGCUGUUAAGUCCGCCGCCUGGGAAGUACGGUCGCAAGACUGAA